rnacentral:rRNA from 1 species
AAUGAACGCUGGCGGCAUGCCUAACACAUGCAAGUCGAACGAAACCAUCGGGACUAGUGGCGCACGGGUGUGUAACGCGUGGGAACCUGCACACAGGUUCGGAAUAACUCUCAGAAAGGGGUGCUAACACCGGACAAUGUCUUCGGACCAAAGAUUUAUUGCGUUUGGAUGGGCGAGCGUUGUAUUAGCUAGUUGGUAUGGUAAAAGCAUACUAAGGCGAGGAUCCAUAGCUGGUCUGUGAGGAUGGUUAGCCACACUGCGACUGAGACGCGGCCGAGACUCCUACGGGAGGCGGCAGUGGGGAAUAGUGGACAAUGGGCGAAGGGCUGAACCAGCUAUGCUGGGUGAGUGAUGAUGGCCUGAGGGUUGUAAUGCUCUUUUAACCGUGAUGAUAAUGACGGUACCGAGUGAGUAAGCUCCGGCUAACUCCGUG